UGCUUGAAGGGAUAGCUCAGUUGGUAGAGCAAGAGAUUCUAAAUCUCAGUUGUGGGUUUGAGCCCCACGUUGGGCAA